rnacentral:rRNA from 1 species
CCUACGGGAGGCUGCAGUGGGGAAUAUUGGACAAUGGGGGGAACCCUGAUCCAGCCAUGCCGCGUGUGUGAAGAAGGCCCUCGGGUUGUAAAGCACUUUCAGUGAGGAAGAACGCCUGGUGGUUAAUACCCAUCAGGAAAGACAUCACUCACAGAAGAAGCACCGGCUAACUCCGUGCCAGCAGCCGCGGUAAUACGGAGGGUGCGAGCGUUAAUCGGAAUUACUGGGCGUAAAGCGCGCGUAGGUGGCUUGAUAAGCCGGUUGUGAAAGCCCCGGGCUCAACCUGGGAACGGCAUCCGGAACUGGCAAGCUAGAGUGCAGGAGAGGAAGGUAGAAUUCCCGGGGUAGCGGUGAAAUGCGUAGAGUUCGGGAGGAAUACCAGUGGCGAAGGCGGCCUUCUGGACUGACACUGACACUGAGGUGCGAAAGCGGGGGUAGCCAACAGGAUUAGAGACCCUGGUAGUC